CCGGCGACCGGCGCACGGGUGAGUAACACGUAUGCAACCUGCCCUCCGCAGGGGGAUAACCCGGAGAAAUCCGGACUAAUACCGCGUGGUACACCAGUGGGGCAUCCCACGGGUGUUAAAAGGAAGCGAUUCCGGCGGAGGAUGGGCAUGCGGCGCAUUAGCUAGUUGGCGGGGUAACGGCCCACCAAGGCGACGAUGCGUAGGGGUUCUGAGAGGAAGGUCCCCCACACUGGUACUGGGACACGGACCAGACUCCUACGGGAGGCAGCAG
rnacentral:rRNA from 1 species